CCUAAAUUUUUAAUGAAAUUAUUAGUGAAGGAAAGACUAUGGUCUCUGUGUUCUUCUGUUGGUUUUUUCAAGAGAAAAUACCUGAUCUGUGGAGACAGACAACCCUGACAAGUUUGAUAGACUUCAAAAUGGGAGUUUGCAUGGAUGAAGAUAUAAAAACACAGACGGGAGCCUUCUGCUAAAAUCUGAACAGUCUGGUUUCUUACUCUUUUAAACAGAACUUGGACAGAAGAGCUGACCACAAUAAAAUAGAACUUCAGUGCCUUACUGUCAAUCUAAAUUCAUCAUAUGGAACCUAUCAUUCAAAUCAUGUUCCUGAGAAAAACUAAACCAGAGCAGAAGGAUUCCACAUUUCCUAACAACCUAUACUGCGGACUGAGAUGAUGACAAAGGAGGCAACUCUUGAACGACUAGCAUCCCUGGACAGAGGCACCUGCUUACAAACCCCCAACUAUUGCUAUAAGCAGUUGAGGUAGCAGUUCAUGUGCCUUGAAUCCUUUACAGCUCUUGCCUGCAGAAGCACAGCUUGACCAGAAAUAGCCCUGUGAGUCUGGAAAGAAAUGAGUUCAUCUUCACAUCUUGUGCUUUAAGCUUUGUCUUGGGGCUCAUAGAAAUUUCUCUGCUGUAGAUUACAUGGCUGGGUACCUCUGGGAUCCCUUCACAAUUUAAAAAGGCCAAGGGAGCAGCACAUAAAAAAUGAACUCUUCCUGGCAUCUGAUUCAACACAUUGUUUAGUCACAUGUUCCUCCAUCUUUCCUCAGAACAGAGCAAGAGAAAUAUACAGUUGAGUACAGUCUGUGAACAUCUUUGCUAUCAGCUGGAAUUUUCCUAUUUCCUGCAACAAAGAACUGAUGGAUGAUUUUGCCUGUCUACCAGCUCCAUCAGAAAAUGCCUUAGAAAUAUACUAAAUUCUAUAACUAUAUGAUUAUUUUAAUUUGUCUUUAUUCUCUUCCUGAUUUUAAUGUGUGCUACAUCGGCACUGCCUUUUGUGUCUGCUGAUCAUGUCAUUAAUACUCGGUAAUUGGUAUUUUCACAAAUACUUUGGUGAAAGAUCCAACGCUGCACGUGGAAGGCCUGAAGCUGAAGGUCGUCACCCAUGUGGGAUCCCAGAUGUGGGAAAUUUCACAGAUGUUGCAUAUAUACAUAUGUAUAUGUGUGUGUCUGUGUAUGUAAAUCAUAUUUACACACAUUCAAUAUUUAGUUUUGGCCAUUGCUGGAGACAGGAUACUGGACUAUAAAAGCUUAUGCUGGAUUGGUUUGACUGAGUAAAACAUGUUUUAUUCAUUUGUAGACAGAAAAUGUAAAAGUAUCAAAUUACUGCUUUUCAACUCUUAUUUUUUUACUUAUGUACUGCCAAUCUGUGCUGCUGGCCCUUGUGCAAAGGAUAAAGUAGUGUCUUCUUUGAGAAAGGCAUCCUGGUAGAUUUCAGCACUGGAAAAUUCUUCAGAUGAGUCACUGUUGUGUGGGUUUCUAUUGCCCUUCCAAAAAAUGGAAGAUGUCAUUACACGCUACAUCUCUUAGACAAACGAAAAGCAGAGCUGGGGUUUUUUUCCCUGUUUCUCCAGCAGCUUCUGUGUAUAAAUUAUACAUUUUCUUAAAUAUCUGCAUUUUCUAUUUCAGGUUUGAGCUGAUAACCUGUGUUUUUGCACAGUAGGCAAACCUCAUGCUGUCACAAGCAGCGGUGAUACAGCCUCGCAUUUCGCUUCCCUUCAUCCCAAGGAGCCCUUUGCUAUUAUGCCAUUAGAGAUAAUGCAGAGCUUUGAAUUGAAACACCGCAGACACCAGUGGUGCAUGACAACUUUUCUAGCCCAUGAUCUGCCACCGUACAAUGGGACCUGCUCAGCUGCACCAGCCCACGUUGAGAGGAGACAAUCAAUUCUGUAGAGGACAGUCUCAAGCUGUAACACCUUCCCCAGCUAAGGAGCUGAAGGAGCCUUGUGCUUCUCCUCUGAGAAGACGGAAAUGUAUCUGUCAAGAUUGCAAACAUAUAUACCCUCAGAAACCAAAAUAAAUACCCAAAAGAGUUUGAAUGUGGGAUGCAGGGUGGCACUGCUUGUGUUCUGGGAAUUGUUUGAAUUUUGGAGCACAGGAGCUUGGGGGCAAAGGUGCUGUCAUGACUUUCUCAUUGCAGAGCUCAGAAUGGCUGCACAUUCCAUGGGAAUGGGUACACAGAUAUGUGGCCAUCUAAGUCUUACAGCAAACAAUCAGUAUUAAAGUUUUUUAAAUCUUUUAUGAAAAAUACAGAAGACAAGCAGAUAAAGUACUUGUUAUGUAAAGUGUUCAAGGAGACUUUCAUUUUAACAGCAUCCAUUAUCCCCUUUUCUUUUAGCUGCAGAGCAUUUUUAUGUGGAAAAUUCCCUGGUUGAUAGUGUCUUUUUAUACAGUAUUAAGAUGAUAUUAACUCCCCCUUUGGGAGAGAAUAAUAAAAUAAAAAGCAGCUGAAAUG